AGUGAUCAGCUAGGAGAAAACCAGCAUCAGCGAACCAGAAGACACGGGCUAAAGAUGAUGAGGACUCAAGUGCCCUGACCCUAAGCCUUCUUUCCUGAGUCACGAGACAGUCAAGGAAUAAUGGGCAUCAGUGACCUGAGAAAAAGUCUGCCAACCUCCUGAUCUAGACCGAAUUUUACCAUAACUGUAUGACGAUGGACAAGCCUAUCCUGCAUGUGGGAUCUUAGCUACCCGACCAGGGAUCAAACCUGCACCCCCUACAUUGGAAGGCGAAGUCUUAACCACUGGACCGCCAAGGAAGUCCCAGUUUUGCCCUUUUCUGAAUUUUAUGUUGAUACACUCAAAUU